rnacentral:lncRNA from 1 species
AUCAUUCUCUCCAUUAUCUUCAGCUGCAAGUUCGUCCCAUCUUGACAUUAUACCAGCAUAUUCAUCCUCCUCGUAUGCACCCAUUUUAUUGUCUGCUUCAGCCACACUAGGAGUCAGAAAAUGGAGCAUUUAAAAUAUUUGAAUGUGUUGACAAUUAAUUAAUUCUGAGUUAGAAAGAGAUGUAUUCUCGUACAAGUUCUUGAGUUGUGCCAUUGAAGCCAUGAUCCUUUAAGAUUUCAUAGGUUCAAGGUCGUUGAACAUAUAGACUUUAGUAAAUAUGCAACAUCUAUAUACUUUAGGACUUUCGAGUUGUAUGGAUCUAGAAGAAGUGAAGAUCAAUAGUGCAUGGAUUGCAAGUGCAGGAUGCUUCCAUAGCCUUCGAUUUCUAUCCUUAUUUAGCUGCCAUAAACUGAGGGAUGUGAGUUGGGUAACUUUUGCUCAACAUUUGAAAGAACUAUCUAUAUGGAAAUGCCUAGGUUUAGAAGAAAUUACCAGUUGGGAAAAACAUAGUGAAGUUGCUGAGUUGAAGGAAAAAUGGCCAAUGUUGAAGAAGCUCCCACUAAACUUCAAUAGUGCCCUUUAUCAACUCUCUCAUGAGUCACAUCAAUUUCCAUUCUUUUCCUAUGAUACUCAUGUGAGUUUUAGCCUUCAAAUUUUUUGAAUCAAUGGGAAUAAGAAGCUUAGCAGAGGAGGAAUUUGAAGCUUCAAGAGACAUGAUUUUAUUUUAUUGGUGCUUAAAACUUAAAAAUUUUAGAAUGAUAUUAAUAUAAUUUAUUCCCUUUAAUUAAAAAUAAUAUUUUUAUUAAACAAACUUAAAUAAUUUUAGAAAUUAUGAUUAAUCAUUUAAGGCUUGUAAUUCACGCUAGAUCAAACUGGUUAAAAAGAUGGUUAGUAGUCCUAUCAUUGGUGAUUUUAUAUUUUUAUUAAUACAAUUUAACGAACUAACAAGAAAUUGAUUGUUGCCCCUAACAAUGAUUUUCCAGGCAAUCAAGACUCUCGAACAUGAUAUAUGAAGAUUACCUUGAAAUCUGAAGAACAUGAUGAUAUUUUGCAGCUUCUUUAUUUUUUUUUUGGAUUUGGUUUGAUUUUAAUUUAGAUACCAGUUAAAUCUAUUUAGUUCAAGUAUAAUGACAAAAUGUAUUAAUGAUAAAAAUUAACCUAUCAUGAACUCAAGAAUAAAAAGUAGGGUUUAUAUUUUGUGGUGGAUAUUGCAGGGUUCAGGAGGUAGAAAAAUGGGAAGAUGCAAAGAGUGAGGCAGAAUUGACCAAAUAAACUAGUCUGAGCCAGUUCUUCUUUUUGUUCAACAAAAUUGCUUAAGUAGUAAUUCAAUACCUUUCAAUUUCAUCAUCUAAGUAAUUGUUUAUUAGUAAGAUAUGUCAACUGUUGAUGACAAAGUGAAAGCCACCUUUCAACAACAUACAUUAUCAGCACUGCAAUACAAAUAAAAGAUAUUAAAAUGAAGUAUUCGCAUUUGAAUGAAUUUUCAAUAAUAAAUAUAGUCAUUAAAUACCAAAGGAUUAUGAAUAUCUAAAAUGACUAGACGAGGAAAGUACAUGUGUAAAGCCCAAAAUCUGCCCGGGGCCCGAAACUCAGAAGCCCAAAAUCCAGACGCAGCAUGCCUAGGGCGCGCCGCUCCAGCCUCUGCCCAACCCCUCGCACGCCUCUACUCCGCGCCAGCCUCCACGACGCCCAUU